rnacentral:rRNA from 1 species
UACGUAGGGGGCUAGCGUUGUCCGGAUUUAUUGGGCGUAAAGAGCGUGUAGGCGGCCAGGUAGGUCUGGUGUGAAAACUUGAGGCUUAACCUCGAGAUGUCAUCGGAAACCAUUUGGCUAGAGUCCGGAAGAGGAGAGUGGAAUUCCUGGUGUAGCGGUGAAAUGCGCAGAUAUCAGGAAGAACACCAAUGGCGAAGGCAGCCCCCUGGGUCAAAACUGACGCUCAUGCACGAAAGCGUGGGGAGCAAACAGG